rnacentral:rRNA from 1 species
UAACACAUGCAAGUCGAGCGGAAAGGCCCUUCGGGGUACUCGAGCGGCGAACGGGUGAGUAACACGUGAGCAACCUGCCCUUGGCUUCGGGAUAACCAUCGGAAACGGUGGCUAAUACCGGAUACGACACGAGGUCGCAUGAUCUUCGUGUGGAAAGUUUUUCGGCCAGGGAUGGGCUCGCGGCCUAUCAGCUUGUUGGUGGGGUGAUGGCCUACCAAGGCGACGACGGGUAGCCGGCCUGAGAGGGCGACCGGCCACACUGGGACUGAGACACGGCCCAGACUCCUACGGGAGGCAGCAGUGGGGAAUAUUGCGCAAUGGGCGGAAGCCUGACGCAGCGACGCCGCGUGAGGGAUGACGGCCUUCGGGUUGUAAACCCCUUUCAGCAGGGACGAAGCGAAAGUGACGGUACCUGCAGAAGAAGCACCGGCCAACUACGUGCCAGCAGCCGCGGUAAGACGUAGGGUGCGAGCGUUGUCCGGAUUUAUUGGGCGUAAAGAGCUCGUAGGCGGCUCGUCGCGUCGGUUGUGAAAACUCUAGGCUUAACCUGGAGCUUGCAACCGAUACGGGCGGGCUAGAGUUCGGUAGGGGAGACUGGAAUUCCUGGUGUAGCGGUGAAAUGCGCAGAUAUCAGGAGGAACACCGGUGGCGAAGGCGGGUCUCUGGGCCGAUACUGACGCUGAGGAGCGAAAGCGUGGGGAGCGAACAGGAUUAGAUACCCU